AUCUCAAAUAGCUUAGGGACUUAUAUCUGCUCAAGGAGCUAAAUUAGAAGAUAAAACUAUAGAAGAAAACAGCAUAGAAAAACCAGAUUAAAAUUAUAAAGAAAUAUCCUUGAUCUUCACUGAAUGGGUAACAAUAAAUUUGAAAAAGCUAAAGGUUUCUUCGAGAAAUUUAAAAAUGCACAAUCUGUAGGGAAGGUAUAAUCGAAUAUUUUCCUAGUGUAGACUGAAUUUUAAUUUAAAAUUCUAGAUAUGAUUUUACACGUUCGAGAACACAUUAGUAAAUAAUUAAGACGUUACUACCUCCUCUAGAUUUUCUGCAAGAUUAGUAUUUCGCAGAUGUUUCAAAUUUUCACAGAUUAAAACAUAACUGUUGCAGCUAAAUGGGUGGAGACUUUAUCUCUAUGUUCUCUCCUCGAUAAUGGACUUUUAGUGUUUUCAUAUCAAAUUUUUUGUAUUGACUCAAGACUGUAUUUCUGUAAUAUUUCAGAACAUUCUGAACUUUUUCAAUGAUUAGAAUAUUUUUACUUUCAUUUUUUCGAAACUUAUUCGAUUCCAGUGAAUUCAUUCAGAACUGAGAAAAUAGAUGGCGGCACUGGCUUAAGAGACUUUCGAAUUUACAAAUACUGGCUUUGUCUCCUUUUUAUUCUCGCCUUCUCAUGAAAGGUACAAUGGAAUCGUACUUCUUAUAAUUACCGUGAGAAGCCUUAAGUUGUUAAGCCGAUAGUUUGAACUUCUGGUAAAAACUCUGUGUAGUUCUAAGCCUGAAGCGAAAUGAAAACUCCAAAUCUCAUCUAACUCACAGCGGAGCGUGAAAUGUACGCAUGCGCAGUGGUUACUUUCUUCCUCGACAUCUUGUAUGUCCUAGGAAAAGUAUCAUAUGUAGAGAAGAUAUAUCUGAAAUUUUCGAUCGUCGCUGUGUAUAUUAAUGAAUACUCAUCUUGUGUGUUAUUAGUCGCCAAUUGUGGAAAAGGGGGAUUGUAUCAAAUAUAUGAGUGUAGAGCUUAUCUUAAGAGCUCUUCUAAUGCAUGCACAGUUUGCGCUUAUCUGCACAGCGAUGACGUAACUCUUUUUCGCAAUGUACAUGGGCUGUUGCAUUUGUAGAUGCCCAAGCUGUCAUUUUAACAGGAGCAGAUGUGAUUAAUACUUGAAUUUUCUACCCAUGGUGGUAGUAAUUUUGGUUAUUAACCAUUGCCUAAGAGCAACAAAAUCUAACAAAUGGUGUGGUGUCUUGAAAAUUAUUCUUAUAAGAUUUCAUGAGAAUGUAUAUCGCUGAGAAUACAUGAAUCACAACUACAUUUCACUGCAACUUCACUGGCUACCAAAAUUGCGAUGAUCAGCAAAACAGUACAGUUAAGCUAAGUGGCUCGAAGCACAGACGAGGAAUUAAGAUUAGUCCUACUGCAAUUGAGUACACUUCAACAUCAGAAAAAGGACAAAUAUCGUUUUUAGUAAUUUUCUUCAAUAUCAACUUAUUUCGAUUCAUGAGAUUCAUGAUCAUACUUCUUCAGGACAUGGAAAAAAUUUGACACUGAUGCUACUAUAUCUAGAAUACUAGAUUCAUUUUUCUUCAUCCCAAGUCAGCAGAGAUCCUUCUCGAAGAAAAAGUUAUACAGCUGCUUUUAAACUUUUGGCAAUGAAGAAAGCGAUCGAAAUUGGAAAUCGUGCUGCAGGUAAAGAAUUUCAAGUUGAGGAGCGAUGCAUUCGGCUGUGGAAGUCCGAACAAGAAGAAUUAAAGGAAAUACCUAAGAAUAACAAAUGAGCGUUUAAAAUUUUGUUGGAAGACCUAAUUGAUGUUUCGGGUUCAUGAAGCGAAAGGAAUUAUCUGUCAAGGACCAAAACAACAGUUGGACAAAAGCUUCUCGUGGACUGGCUUGAAAAAAAGGAAAGAUAGCUUUUUUGGAGUACACAUAUAAGAAAGUUAUAAAACAAAAUUUGAAAAGAGGGCAAAUAACUAAUGUGGAUGAAGUGCACAUUACUUUUGAUUGUCCUCAGAGCAGAAAUGUUCAUUCAGUAGGUGAAAAAACUAUUUCAGUGUUAACAACCGAGAAUGAAAAGACUUCUUUUGCUUGUUUCGCCAAUGGAAGAGAAGUUAACGCUUUUGAUAAUUUUCAAAAGGAAACUUCCCUAAAGGAGUAUUAUUUGUGUGAACGAAAAAGGACGGAUGUGCGAAGAAGUGAUGGUUGGCUGAGAGAAAUUUGUCAUAAAAGGAAAGGUGCUUUUUUCAAACCCCGGAUAACUCGAAUCAUUCUGGAUUCACUGCGAUCCCAUUUAACGGAUACGGUAAGAUCUGAAGCAAAAAAAAACUUAGCACCGAUGUCUCAGUGAUACCAGGUGGGCUUGCAAAAAUUUCACAGCUGCUGGAUCUCUUUAUAACAGGAAUUUUCAAGCAUGAACUAUAAAAGCAGUGGGAGGAAUGGGUGCAAAGCGGACUCCAUUCCUUCACAAAUUCUGGACGAAUGAGAAAAGUUUCGUAUGAGGAGGCUGCCUGCUGGGUCUAUAACACAUGACAAUCAGUCCGAGCUGAUACAAUUGUAUCAGCUUUACAAUUACAAAGCUGAUACAAUUGUAUCAGCUUUCAUUAAAUCGAAAAUCAUCGAAAAUGAAAGUGAAGAUAGUGACGUUGCAAGAAGUGAUUUAGAAUAGAAUGAUGAAAUUGACCUUAAUGGUCAUUUGUUAAAUUUACUUAAUUCUGACGUCAAUGAGUCAGAUUUUGAAGGUUUUGUAAGUAAUAAAUGUAGUUUAAUUUAA